UGGAUACACAUGAUGGACUUGCUGAGAUAUGAGACUUCCUCAUGAUCACACUUCCCAGGUGGAGGCAACCAAUCAAACUGAGAAGAGAGCAGCAAAGACCAUGCUCCUUGUGGCAGAGAUAAACAAUGGAGAUGGGAAGGAGAGACAAAAAAGGUAGGGGGAAAUGUUAAGGAAAGCAGGGACCGAUUUUGUCAACGACAGGGCUCCUAUUUUCUGAGAGGGAUAAGCAGUCUAGGAGACUGCUCAGAAGCGGUCCAGAAGGGAGGCUCAGAGCAUCAAGGAAAGAAGACAAACUCUGGAAUUCUCCGCAUGAGGGCUUAGAUGUAC
rnacentral:lncRNA from 1 species